rnacentral:rRNA from 1 species
UACGGAGGGUGCAAACGUUGCUCGGAAUCAUUGGGCGUAAAGCGCACGUAGGCGGAUCGCUAAGUCGGAUGUGAAAGCCCUCGGCUUAACCGAGGAAGUGCAUUCGAAACUGGCAGUCUUGAGUAUGGAAGAGGGUCGCGGAAUUCCCGGUGUAGAGGUGAAAUUCGUAGAUAUCGGGAGGAACACCAGUGGCGAAGGCGGCAUCCUGGACCAACACUGACACUGAGGAGCGAAAGCCAGGGGAGCAAACGGG